UUCCGUUUUUGUGCAUCAGCUAUCAUCGCAUUUAGACACAAUAGAAUAAGACAUGUGGGAUAAAGAGUCACUCAAGAGGUCACAGGAUGUGUGAUGAAAGAGCUUUGACAAAGAAACAAUUACAAUAAUAAUGAAGCUGAAGUAAAGACCAAACAUACAGUGCAUGUGUUGAAAUGGCAAAAUA